UGGGAGGUAGUUCAAUGGUAGAACGCCUGACUCUGGAUCAGGAAGUUGCAGGUUCAAGUCCUGCCCUCCCAGCCA
rnacentral:tRNA from 1 species